rnacentral:rRNA from 1 species
ACGUGGUAUCCUGUCUGAAUAUGGGGGGACCAUCCUCCAAGGCUAAAUACUCCUGACUGACCGAUAGUGAACCAGUACCGUGAGGGAAAGGCGAAAAGAACCCCGGCGAGGGGAGUGAAAAAGAACCUGAAACCGUGUACGUACAAGCAGUGGGAGCACGCUUAGGCGUGUGACUGCGUACCUUUUGUAUAAUGGGUCAGCGACUUAUAUUCUGUAGCAAGGUUAACCGAAUAGGGGAGCCGAAGGGAAACCGAGUCUUAACUGGGCGUUAAGUUGCAGGGUAUAGACCCGAAACCCGGUGAUCUAGCCAUGGGCAGGUUGAAGGUUGGGUAACACUAACUGGAGGACCGAACCGACUAAUGUUGAAAAAUUAGCGGAUGACUUGUGGCUGGGGGUGAAAGGCCAAUCAAACCGGGAGAUAGCUGGUUCUCCCCGAAAGCUAUUUAGGUAGCGCCUCGUGAAUUCAUCUCCGGGGGUAGAGCACUGUUUCGGCAAGGGGGUCAUCCCGACUUACCAACCCGAUGCAAACUGCGAAUACCGGAGAAUGUUAUCACGGGAGACACACGGCGGGUGCUAACGUCCGUCGUGAAGAGGGAAACAACCCAGACCGCCAGCUAAGGUCCCAAAGUCAUGGUUAAGUGGGAAACGAUGUGGGAAGGCCCAGACAGCCAGGAUGUUGGCUUAGAAGCAGCCAUCAUUUAAAGAAAGCGUAAUAGCUCACUGGUCGAGUCGGCCUGCGCGGAAGAUGUAACGGGGCUAAACCAUGCACCGAAGCUGCGGCAGCGACGCUUAUGCGUUGUUGGGUAGGGGAGCGUUCUGUAAGCCUGUGAAGGUGUGCUGUGAGGCAUGCUGGAG